GGAGUAGUUCCAUUAUAUCACUGAUGAGGAAUUCAAUUGGGCAUAUGGAAUGUGAAGAUUUUGGAUCAGUAUUGGGGAUAUUAAUUCAAGGACUGUGAUUCGGAACGGGCGUCUCGACAUUGGAUUGGUUUGAUUCGAUCUACAUUGGAGGCGGGUACCUCUUGACUUAUCUUUUAUGAUAUUGUCAUUUGGAUAUGCAUAGUAUUUUAUAACUACAAGCA